CUGCACUAGUCGGGGAGCCAGCGGUGCCCUAUACCUGCAAUCCGCUAUAGCAGGGAUGAAUUCCCGCCCCCGGAUAUUCGAUGUGUUGUCUGACCGUGGUAAGCAGCGUUGACGAUUCGGUCUCGCGCAACGGGGGCUUGUGAACCAUGUCAGGCGGGGAACCGAGCAGCAUUAAGUGAGUUUCCCCGUGUGCCGUGAGGCUACCGGAUCUGAGCCGGCUGCCUCGGUAACGGAUGUAUCGGAUAUUCAAAGGCGGGUGUGCAG
rnacentral:SRP_RNA from 1 species